rnacentral:tRNA from 1 species
GGCGAUGUGGCUGAGUGGUACAGCGCUCGGCUUCCAAACCAGAAGAUUUUGGGUUCGAAUCCUGGUGAUGACU